UACGUAGGAGGCGAGCGUUGUCCGGAGUUACUGGGCGUAAAGGGCGCGCAGGCGGCUGAUCAAGUGUGCGGUGAAAUCUCCUGGCUUACCUGGGAGGGUGCUGUGCAAACUGGUUAGCUCGAGGCUCGGGGAGGGGCGUGGAAUUCCGGGUGGAGCGGUGAAAUGCGUAGAGAUCCGGAGGAACACCGACGGCGUAAGCAGCGCCCUAAGCGAAGCCUGACGCUCAGGCACGAAAGCUGGGGGAGCAAACAGG
rnacentral:rRNA from 1 species